GACAGCUAUAAAGAAGGGCAGUCCGGCCUGAAAUUCGAUAGCAAAAAUUUUAGUUAAUGCCUGAGAAAAUCUGACCAAAAAAAAAAAAUGCCUGAGAAAAAAAUUGUCUAUUCCUUGUAGCCUUCAUAAUACUCUUCGACUUCAUCUGAGUAUCCUUACAGUUAUGUAGAGUAACUCGAAUUUGAAAAGCUGAUUCUACAGCUGAACUUAUCCAGUAUCGACAAAGGGAACAUUUCAUAGAGGAUCAAAGUAAAGACAAAGAGAACUUCUGUAGUCAAGGACUUGCUUUCGCUGCAUGCAAGGAUGUAUAAUCAUUGAACUAGUAAGCACUCGCAUUGCAUCAUUUCUUUCUUGUAUCUUUUUCCAAGUAACUUUUGCUGCUGACAACUUGUUCUGUUGAUAAGAUGAUAAAAUCUACCAUGGCGCAAGUGUAUGGUAUAGCCUUGAA